rnacentral:rRNA from 1 species
UUAAGAGCAGAUGGCGGAUGCCUUGCCAAAGAGAGGCGAUGAAGGACGUACUAGACUGCGAUAAGCUAUGCGGAGCUGUCAAGGAGCUUUGAUGCGUAGAUGUCCGAAUGGGGCAACCCAACUAAUAGAGAUAUUAGUUACUCUAAUAUAGAGAGCGAACCUAGUGAAGUGAAACAUCUCAGUAACUAGAGGAAAAGAAAUCAACGAGAUUCCCUAAGUAGUGGCGAGCGAACGGGGAAAAGGGCAAACCGAGUGCUUGCAUUCGGGGUUGAGGACUGCAAUAUCCAAGAGAACGCUUUAGCAGAGUUACCUGGAAAGGUAAGCCAUAGAAAGUGAUAGCCUUGUAUGCGACAAGGCGUUCUUAGGUAGCAGUAUCCAGAGUAGGCCAGGACACGAGAAAUCCAGGUUGAAGCCGGGGAGACCACUCUCCAACCCUAAAUACUACUCUUUGAGCGAUAGCGAACAAGUACCGUGAGGGAAAGGUGAAAAGAACCGCAGUGAGCGGAGUGAAAUAGAACCUGAAACCAUCUGCUUACAAUCAUUCAGAGCCCUAUGAUUUAUCAGGGUGAUGGACUGCCUUUUGCAUAAUGAUCCUGCGAGUUGUGGUAUCUGGCAAGGUUAAGCGAAUGCGAAGCCGUAGCGAAAGCGAGUCUUAAUAGGGCGCUUGAGUCAGAUGCUGCAGACCCGAAGCUAAGUGAUCUAUCCAUGGCCAAGUUGAAACGCGUGUAAUAGCGCGUGGAGGACUGAACUCGUACCCAUUGAAACGGGUUGGGAUGAGCUGUGGAUAGGGGUGAAAGGCCAAACAAACUUAGUGAUAGCUGGUUCUCUUCGAAAUAUAUUUAGGUAUAGCCUCAAGUGAUAAUAAAAGGGGGUAGAGCGCUGAUUGGGCUAGGGCUGCUCGCCGCGGUACCAAACCCUAUCAAACUUCGAAUACCUUUUAUCGUAUCUUGGGAGUCAGGCGGUGGGUGAUAAAAUCAAUCGUCAAAAGGGGAACAACCCAGACUACCAAAUAAGGUCCCUAAGUUCUAUUCUGAGUGGAAAAAGAUGUGUGGCUACUCAAACAACCAGGAGGUUGGCUUAGAAGCAGCCAUCCUUUAAAGAAAGCGUAACAGCUCACUGGUCUAGUGGUCAUGCGCUGAAAAUAUAACGGGGCUAAGAUAGACACCGAAUUUGUAGAUUGUGUUUGACACAGUGGUAGAAGAGCGUUCAUACCAGCGUUGAAGGUAUACCGGUAAGGAGUACUGGAGCGGUAUGAAGUGAGCAUGCAGGAAUGAGUAACGAUAAGAUAUAUGAGAAUUGUAUCCGCCGUAAAUCUAAGGUUUCCUACGCGAUGGUCGUCAUCGUAGGGUUAGUCGGGUCCUAAGCCGAGUCCGAAAGGGGUAGGUGAUGGCAAAUUGGUUAAUAUUCCAAUACCGACUAUGGAGCGUGAUGGGGGGACGCAUAGGGUUAAGCGAGCUAGCUGAUGGAAGCGCUAGUCUAAGGGCGUAGAUUGGAGGGAAGGCAAAUCCACCUCUGUAUUUGAAACCCAAACAGGCUCUUUGAGUCCUUUUAGGACAAAGGGAGAAUCGCUGAUACCGUCGUGCCAAGAAAAGCCUCUAAGCAUAUCCAUAGUCGUCCGUACCGCAAACCGACACAGGUAGAUGGGAUGAGUAUUCUAAGGCGCGUGAAAGAACUCUGGUUAAGGAACUCUGCAAACUAGCACCGUAAGUUCGCGAUAAGGUGUGCCACAGCGAUGUGGUCUCAGCAAAGAGUCCCUCCCGACUGUUUACCAAAAACACAGCACUUUGCCAACUCGUAAGAGGAAGUAUAAGGUGUGACGCCUGCCCGGUGCUCGAAGGUUAAGAGGAUGCGUCAGUCGCAAGAUGAAGCGUUGAAUUGAAGCCCGAGUAAACGGCGGCCGUAACUAUAACGGUCCUAAGGUAGCGAAAUUCCUUGUCGGUUAAAUACCGACCUGCAUGAAUGGCGUAACGAGAUGGGAGCUGUCUCAACCAGAGAUUCAGUGAAAUUGUAGUGGAGGUGAAAAUUCCUCCUACCCGCGGCAAGACGGAAAGACCCCGUGGACCUUUACUACAACUUAGCACUGCUAAUGGGAAUAUCAUGCGCAGGAUAGGUGGGAGGCUUUGAAGUAAGGGCUUUGGCUCUUAUGGAGCCAUCCUUGAGAUACCACCCUUGAUGUUUCUGUUAGCUAACUGGCCUGUGUUAUCCACAGGCAGGACAAUGCUUGGUGGGUAGUUUGACUGGGGCGGUCGCCUCCUAAAAAGUAACGGAGGCUUGCAAAGGUUGGCUCAUUGCGGUUGGAAAUCGCAAGUUGAGUGUAAUGGCACAAGCCAGCCUGACUGUAAGACAUACAAGUCAAGCAGAGACGAAAGUCGGUCAUAGUGAUCCGGUGGUUCUGUGUGGAAGGGCCAUCGCUCAAAGGAUAAAAGGUACCCCGGGGAUAACAGGCUGAUCUCCCCCAAGAGCUCACAUCGACGGGGAGGUUUGGCACCUCGAUGUCGGCUCAUCGCAUCCUGGGGCUGGAGCUGGUCCCAAGGGUAUGGCUGUUCGCCAUUUAAAGCGGUACGCGAGCUGGGUUCAGAACGUCGUGAGACAGUUCGGUCCCUAUCUGCCGUGGGCGUAGGAAAGUUGAGGAGAGCUGUCCCUAGUACGAGAGGACCGGGAUGGACGUGUCACUGGUGCACCAGUUGUUCUGCCAAGAGCAUCGCUGGGUAGCUACACACGGAUGUGAUAACUGCUGAAAGCAUCUAAGCAGGAAGCCAACUCCAAGAUGAACUUUCCCUGAAGCUCGCACAAAGACUAUGUGCUUGAUAGGGUAGAUGUGUGAGUGCAGUAAUGCGUUUAGCUGACUACUACUAAUAGAGCGUUUGGCUUGUUU